AUUUCUAUUUAUCUCAUUUAUUAUUUUUUUAUUAAUUAAAAACACCACAACAACAAACAUAUCCUUUGGAUUUAUUGCAUGCUUUCAGAAUUAUAGUCUGACUUAUUUAAUGCCAUCUCCAGUUAUGUUUGACAUACAGAACAGAGGGAUAGGAAGCAAAGAAAUACUAGUGCUGUCACAAUAAAAUGCAAGAAUAAUGCAAAAUAUGAAGAAAACACCAUAUAAGUGUACAUUUUUGAGAGGAAAAAAAGGUGAUCAAUGGUAGUUAAAAGCUCUACAAGGCAGGAAAGCAGUUGGAAUUUUAUCAUCAGUUCUUCAAUUAAUUAGCAUACAAAUAUCUGUAUUUCCCUGGUAUAUAGACUGAUGCUUUAAAGAUUCCAUCUAAUAAUGCAUGCAUUUUAUUUAAGCUACACAAGACAUCCUGAAGUCUUCUUUUUACUUUUGUGUUCAUGUAUGCACCAUAGUGCAUUUUUUUCAUUAAAUGCACCUAUUAAAAAUGUGUUAAAUAUCAAUAGUUCAAUAUGCAUUUUAUUUACCUAUUUGCUGUAUGAUUACAUCUUUUUUUUUAUUAUUUAUUUAUUUAUUUAACAUAAUGAAUGAACUGAGUAUGCUUAGUACCUUACAUGGUUGGCUCCCUUAGAAGUGUGUGCAUUUACUAAUGAGAUAAGCAGUUACCAUCAAACUAUGUUAAAUGUACUCAAAAUAAUAAAUUAUUUACAGAACAGAAAUAUCACUUUGAAGAAAGAAAGAAAGAAAGAAAGAAAGAAAGAAAGAAAGAAAGAAAGAAAGAAAGAAAGAAAGAAAGAAAGAAAGAAAGACUAAAAAUUUCUAAAAAGAACACAUCUGAAGCUCGGAGGAGUUUUAAGGUCGCACUGCAUUUUAAUUUACCUUAUUGUAAUUUACCUUAUUUUAACAAAAGCUCCGUAUGAGGCUAAAACAUAAAAAUGUUCAUGCACUGGAUCAGAACAAAGAUGUAUCUUUAUCCAUAUUAUGUUUGAAAGGGAAGUUAUACACAUAGAGCCAUAAGGCAAAAUCACUUUCAUGAGCUAUGUUUCCUAAUAUGCUUUCUGCCUUCAGAAUUGACUUAAUUGGUGCUUAACCCAAAUGGACUGCAAGAAUUCAUUACAUUCUUUAGCACAGCUUUCCAGAGAAUGAUUAUCUUCUUCUUUGGACCUGUCUCCUACAGCCUUUAUUUGUUGCCUUUUAGAUCUUAAACUAAGAGACCAUGUGAACACUCUGUCCUUGUCCACCUUCUCCAUACCACUCACAAAAAUGAAUUUCACACUUACUAAUAGAACAUUCUGAGUUGGAAAGGACCCACGAGGAUCAUCAAGUACAGAUUCUGGAAUACAAAUGAAAAGAUGAAAGACUUUCAAAGUAAAAUGGAAAAACAUCAGUUAUUCCAGCUCCCUGCAGGUGUAAGAGCA
rnacentral:lncRNA from 1 species